AUUGUAUUAAUUUUUAAUUGUUCCUGGUAGUUGUUUUCCUGGCUGCUGUUUAUGUUCUUUGUAAAUUCAUUAUAUUGUUUUUAUUCUGUCUUUGUUAGCUGCCCGGAGUCAUAUAACUGAGAUGGAUGGCCAUAAAAAAUAAAUAUAAAAUAAAUUCAGGAAAAUUGUGAAGAAACUGAGAGUUGAGGUGAACCGGAUUCAGGAUCAUCCAGUGAUGCAAACGUUUGCUGUAUCUGCUCUUCCCAGAAUGAACAUUGACAAGGAACAAAUAACAAAAUGGAAUACAAGAAAGCACAAAGAGAUCAACUGGAUCGUGGGCUUCUGCGACACGAAACAAAAAGCUGGGUUUGUGGAUGCAACUUCUAGAUCUUGACCUGACCCGUGUUUAACAACACUGUGUGAGCAUUGUCUGUUGUUUUAUUCUCGUUUUGUCUCUAAUAAAUAAGUACCAUUGGGUUUCUA